UUUGGUAUAAUGUUAUAGUUGUGGUAAUAUUUACAAAUUUUGCAAAAUAAGCAAGUGGUUAUAAAAUAUUCGAUUGGUCGGGAAAUAUUCGUUUUAACAAGGAAUAUUCGUACGACGGUACAAUCAUUGGUGGACCCCAUAACGGAAGUAUUAUCGGAGUUAGAAAACGACAUAAAUAUCUUUUAUAAAAAUAACGGCGAAAGUUUU
rnacentral:lncRNA from 1 species